rnacentral:misc_RNA from 1 species
AGCAGCCGCGGUAAUUCCAGCUCCAAUAGCGUAUAUUAAAGUUGUUGCAGUUAAAAAGCUCGUAGUUGAAUUUCGGGAUCAAUUAGUCGGUCGUGCCUCUGGUACGUACUGGUUUUAUUGGUUCCUCCCUUCUGACGAAACAUGAUGUCAUUAAUUUGGUGUCGUGGAGAAUCAGGACUGUUACCUUAGAAAAAUUAGAGUGUUUAUAGCAGGCUAACGCUUGAAUACAUUAGCAUGGAAUAAUGAAAUAGGACGUUCGACCCUAUUUUGUUGGUUUCUAGGAUCGACGUAAUGAUUAAUAGGGAUAGUUGGGGGCUAUUAGUAUUCAAUUGUCAGAGGUGAAAUUCUUGGUAUUUAUUGAAGACUAACUACUGACGAAAGCAUUUGCCAAGGUAUGUUUUCAUUAAUCAAGUAACGAAAGUUAGGGAUCGAAGACGAUCAGAUACCGUACGUAGUACUUAACCAUAAACCUAUGCCGACUAGGGAUCGGAU